rnacentral:rRNA from 1 species
AUUGAACGCUGGCGGCAUGCCUUACACAUGCAAGUCGAACGGUAACGGGCCUUCGGGUGCCGACGAGUGGCGAACGGGUGAGUAAUGCAUCGGAACGUACCUUUCAGUGGGGGAUAACGUAGCGAAAGUUACGCUAAUACCGCAUAUUCUGUGAGCAGGAAAGCAGGGGAUCGCAAGACCUUGCGCUGAUUGAGCGGCCGAUGUCAGAUUAGCUAGUUGGUGAGGUAAAGGCUCACCAAGGCGACGAUCUGUAGCGGGUCUGAGAGGAUGAUCCGCCAAACUGGAACGGAGACACGGUCCAGACUCCUACGGGAGGCAGCAGUGGGGAAUGUUGGACAAUGGGGGCAACCCUGAUCCAGCCAUGCCGCGUGAGUGAAGAAGGCCUUCGGGUUGUAAAGCUCUUUCGGCCGGGAAGAAAUCGUAUGGGCUAAUACCCUGUGCGGAUGACGGUACCGGCAUAAGAAGCACCGGCUAACUACGUGCCAGCCGCCGCAGUAACAC